GAGGCGCGCGCGACUGUAGUUAGAGAGACUCGUAGCGAGUGCGCGAGCCUGAGGAACUGUUGGAAGAGCUUGGUUCCGCGGUCGCUCUGUACAGCCCAGGCUGCCAGUUUGUUACAGAGUGGCUGACCUUCCAUAAGGAUGGCCAAGCAACCGCCUGCCCAAUUUACCAAUCCAGAAACUCCUGGCUAUGUUGGAUUUGCAAACCUUCCCAACCAGGUUCAUCGGAAGUCUGUGAAAAAGGGCUUUGAGUUCACUCUCAUGGUGGUUGGUGAAUCUGGAUUGGGAAAAUCUACUCUAAUAAACAGCCUGUUCUUGACAGAUCUCUACCCAGAAAGGAUAAUCCCAGGAGCAGCCGAAAAAAUUGAAAGGACUGUGCAGAUUGAAGCUUCAACAGUUGAAAUCGAGGAAAGGGGUGUUAAGCUCCGUUUGACAGUUGUAGAUACACCAGGUUAUGGUGAUGCCAUCAAUUGCCGAGACUGUUUUAAGACCAUAAUUUCUUAUACUGAUGAGCAGUUUGAGCGGUAUCUGCAUGAUGAGAGUGGCUUGAACAGGCGGCAUAUUGUAGAUAACCGGGUACACUGUUGCUUCUACUUUGUUUCACCAUUUGGUCAUGGUCUUAAACCCUUGGAUGUUGAGUUUAUGAAGGCCAUACACAACAAAGUGAAUAUUGUACCUGUAAUUGCAAAAGCUGAUACACUUACUCUGAAGGAACGGGAAAGGCUGAAGAAAAGGAUUCUGGAUGAAAUUGAACAACAUGGCAUCAAGAUUUAUCACCUGCCCGAUGCAGAAUCAGAUGAGGAUGAAGAUUUUAAAGAACAGACCAGGCUCCUGAAGGUCAGUAUCCCAUUUUGUGUAGUGGGAUCCAAUCAGUUGAUUGAAGCCAAAGGUAAAAAAGUUAGAGGUCGUCUCUAUCCAUGGGGUGUAGUUGAAGUGGAGAACCCAGAACACAACGACUUCCUGAAGCUGAGAACCAUGCUAAUUACCCAUAUGCAGGAUCUUCAGGAGGUGACCCAGGACCUUCACUAUGAGAACUUCCGCUCUGAGAGACUUAAAAGAGGCGGCAGGUUGAAAGUUGAAGAUGAGGAAGUGAAUAAAGAUCAGAUUUUGCUGGAAAAAGAAGCUGAACUUCGUCGCAUGCAAGAGAUGAUUGCAAGGAUGCAGGCUCAGAUGCAAAUGCAGAUGCAAGGUGGUGAGGGAGACAGCAGUGCAGUUCCUGGACACCAUGUUUAAAUUCUUUGCGUGGCAAGCUGCAGGUGACCAUGCAGAGCUCAUCAGCAGAGGUAACCAUGAUGGAGUCCCAGAAUCGCAAAAGACCUCCAGCAUGGACCGAACGGGAGGUACGGAAUCUGAUCGCUGUAUGGGGAGAGGAAUCCGUGCUAUCAGAACUCCGUUCCAGUUUUCAAAACGCCAAAACAUUUGUCAAAAUCUCCCAGAGCAUGAAGGACAGAGGCCAUAACAGGGACCUGAAGCAGUGCCGCGUGAAACUUAAGGAGCUGAGGCAAGCCUACCAGAAAACCAGAGAGGCAAACAGCCGCUCCGGGUCAGAGCCCAAAACGUGCUGCUUCUAUGAUGAGCUGCAUGCCAUUUUAGGGGGUUCAGCCACCACUACCCCAGCCGUGUUGUUUGACUCCUUCAAUGGAGAUGGAGGCAAAACAGAAGCAAGUUUUGGGGACGAGGAAGAUAGCUCACAGCAAGCAAGCGGAGAAACCAGUUUUCCCAGCAGCCAGGAACUGUUUUUCACCCUGGACCUGGAGCCAGUACCCCCCGAACCCACCCAAGGCUGCCUCCCGGAGCCGCCAGGCAGAGAAGGGACCUCUGCUGCAUGUGUUUCAAGGAUCACAGGAUCUUCUCCUUCCCAGAGGCUAGCGAAGAUUAGAAGGCAGAAAAAACACACUCGUGAUGAAGUGUUCUGAGCUCAUGCUGUCCUCCCACACCGACAGAGCACAGAGGAAUGCGUGGAGGCAGACCAUGUCAGAGUGCAGGAAAGCACAAAAUGACCGGAAGGAGAGGUAGCAGGCUGAAGAGAGGGCUGAAGCUGAAAGGUGGCAGCAGUCUGAGAGGAGGCAGGAUUCAAUGAUGACUUCAUAUGCAGAUUAAGAAGAAACCAUUCCAGUGUUGGGAUGCAAUGGUGUCUCUCACUGGGAAGGAUGUCUUUCACUUUGCCUUUGACUUGGAGGUCAUGUUAGUAUGUUAUGUACAAAUGCAUGGUAACAUUUGUAAUAUGUACUUUGUAACAGAUUGUAUUCAGUCAGUAUUUUAUUCAUUAUAUAGAGAUUGUGAUAAGUUUUAGUUUAGUAAUUUAGUAUUUUAUUGAGCUCAUUUUAUGUAAUCCAGUAUAUUAGGAAUGCAAAAUGGAUGAUACUGAGCCUUUCCUAACCUGACUUAGCAGUGGUCAAUCUAUUUGCAUAGCUCAGUAGCACCAUUAUUCAUACUACUUAUUACACCUAGAAAGACGUGACCGUUGCUAUAGGUUGUCCAGUGGUGUAAUAUUUGACUACUUAGGGAGUCCAAUGCCAAGUUAAGUUAUUCUCUUUCCUAUUUCUUUGUUUAAAUGUGUGCCUGUGAGACUCCUGGCCAUUCCUCAUUUCUUGUCCAGUGCUGAAUAGCCAUUGCCUUGGCAUCACAAGUGUCUAAUUAUAAAAGAGGUAUGCUUUGUCUUAACUAGGAAAGAGGAGAUAAGAGCGAAUUCCUUGUCAAAGGGGACACUGUAGUUUAGGGAGCAAAUGUUUAUUGCAUUUACGUUUUAUCUUGAGGGAAAUAUCUUCUGGAUUCUGUUUCAUUAAUUAAAAUCCUCCAGUUUAUUGAAGGGAACUUCUUAAAAGCAAUUUGCUGUAGGGCAGCACAAAGUAGUAGUGUGUUCCAGUGGUGCCUCUGCAGCAAAAGUAAACCAGAAUAAUGCUGAUAUUGGUACACAAGGGGGGGUUGGAAAAGAGAAAUCUGCCUUCAUUUCAGAUGCUUUCCAAAAAAUAGUUUUCCUAAUGUAAUAGGGGAAGAACUUUCAAGUUACUUUCAUUAGAUAUUAAGGUGGUAGUAAGGGAUGCUUUUUGCCUGAGUUAGGCUUGUACUACACCUUUCAAUCUAGUUAUGUUAUGUUUUUUGCUUAUGGCAGGGUAUGAUAUAGCCAUUACAGCACAGGCCCAGUUGCUGACAUAGUGAUACUGCUUGCUGAAUGACUCCUCUUGUCUACUUACCCCUCCAGAGCCAACAGUCAGAUUUCAUAACAUGAUGUGCAACUGCAAAAUUAGUUACCAGUGGUGUUUACAACCCACCAGUGCCAAAGAGAUAAUACAAGUGGCACCAUCACAAAAUGCUGAGAUCUUUCUGAUCUCCUGCACAGCAGUGCCCUUGUUCAUCCUCUUCUACAUUGAUAUCAGAGAUGUGGAAUAACAUAACCUAAUCCUGCAGUUAAAUUCCACAAAUUGUUGCUUUAAUGGUCACUAAAUUACUAAUUUAAAGGAGUCCUGCUACUGAGCAGAUCAGAUUUUGAUCUACCUUAAAAUUGCUGCAGUUUAUAAAUUGCUUUAUAUUCUGAGUAUCUCUUUACUAUCCAAAGCAAAACCCACCACAAUAGCCUCUGUGUUGAACUCCUGUGCUGCCUCUAGAGCAGCUGUCAUUUCAUAGAGCUGCUCAUCUUCCUACUCAUCUAAGUAGCAGCCUUACUGAUUUGUGCUUUGUCAGAAACACAGGAGUAAUGAGUCCUUUCUUGCUAAAUGGAUGAAUACAAAAUUAGUAGGGAAAGAAAUGUAAAUGUUUAAAUUUUGCCUUUUCCAUAGAGAAAAGAUAGUAAUAAGGCAUUUCAGUAUUGCCAGAGAAAAAUGUCAAGCCAUGUUAAUUAAAUCUUUCAAUAUAUUGAGCAGACUGGUUUACUGAAGAAGUGACCAUAAAUGGAUCAGAAAUAAUAUUAACCUUCAGUGAAGUCAUUAGAAUAACUACUUUAAAAUACCACCCCCCCGGUGUUUUUUGUUCAAAUAGUGCAGCUGAGCACCUCUGUGCUCUCUUAGGGUUCUCAAAUGGUCUCAGUUACAAUAGAAUUCUUACUGUCAUGUUACAUACAUUGGACAUAGCACAUUUUGAAGUGCUGUCCAUUUUGCAAGGAAAACCUGUUGCAUAACAUUUCAGUGAAUUUCAUCUGCAGUCAAUACUGUCAUCUAAACUGCAAUAGUAUUUAUAACCAGUAUUAGGAAAAAAUCUAUGAAAGCUUUUUUUAUUUUAUACAUAUAAUAUGUGUGUAUAAUAUUUUACAAGUGACAAGUACAUAUUUAACCCUGUGGAUAACCUUUGUUGAGGAACCGCUCCCUUCCUGUAGUCCUUACUUAAGCCAACUUCUGUUUUGGAAUAAAAAUAUACUAUGCAGUUAGUGCAGAUAGCACAGGUUGAGCUCUACCUGUGGAAUUGUCUGAGUAAAACUACAAUUUGGUCAUGGAGGUCACGGCAGUCACAAAUUCCGUGACUUAACCAGAUCUCUGUGACUUCAGCAGCUGAAGCCAGGGAUGGAGGCAGGACUGUGCCCCUGCUCUGCAACUGGGGCUGGAUGGCUGGAACCAGUACCCUGCAGCCCCUGCCCUGUGGCUUGGAGGGUGUGGGGGGCUGGAGCCAGGCUGUUAGCCCCUGUCCAGGAGCUGUGCACUCCUCGUGGCUGCUCUCCCCCGCUGCAUCCCAGCCCUGUGGCUUCGGCCAGGGGCUGCAGCAGGGACCAUUCUGCAGCUGGGGCUGUGUGCCCCAGCCCUAUGUUGGGGGCUGCAGAGGGAGCCGUGCACCCCCCUUGUGGCGUUCCAGGACCGUGAGCCGUCCCUCUCCCCGCACUGUGGCCAUAGGUUGGCAGAGGCUGCAGCUGCGCACCCCUGUCCCACAGCUGUGGCCAACUCCGGAGUGGGGUCUGUGUGCCCCGCCAUGACUGUGCCCCCUGCCGCUGCACCCCUGCCCCAUGGCUUCUGCUGCGGCUGCAGUUGGGACCAUUCUGCAGCUGGGGCUGUGUGCCCUUGCCCGGCAGCUGCAGUGGGGGCCGUGUGCCCCCCUCACAGCUUCCCAGGGCUGCAGCCAGGGCCGUGCACCUCUGUCCCACAGCUGUGGCCAGCUCUGGAGCGGGGGCUGCAUGCCCCCCGUGCUGUGCCCCCGUUGCAGCCACUGGAACCAGAGCUUUCACCUGCCGUGGUUCUUCCUGUCUGUCUACCCCCUCUCCUGACUCCAUUCCUCCCCCGCAACUUAACCCUGACCCCCGUUAUUUUUAGUAAAGUCACAGACAGGUCAUGGGCUCUGAACUUUUUAUUGCCUCUGACUUGUCUGACUUUUACUAAAAAUAACCGUAACAAAAUCUUAGCCUUACUUAUGAGAGAUCUUGGGGUUUGGGGGGUAAUAUGCAUUCAUUGAACAGCUAGCUUUAGUAGAGCAUUAUGGUUAGUUAUUGAGUGAGUUUUAAAUUACUGAUUCUAGUGAGGAAAUGUUCUCACUUUUUUCCAACGGAAGUGUAAAUUCUUGCGAUUUGCUAUCUUAAUGAAUGGAAUUUAUAUGGUUGCUAAUUGCUUCCACACAUACACUCCUUUGGUGGAAAAGUCCUGUGUGCCCGACAGCUCUGAGGAGCUCUUCUCUUCUGCACUUGGCUUUUGAUGCUCCUGAUUGCAACUGCCAUUCACUUACGUAAUGACUUGAUGGGAAACAUAAAAAAUAAGCCAUUCUUUCUCAAACCUCUUUUUUUUUUUUUUUUUUUUUACCUGAAGCUAACCCAGACUGGAGGAAUUGAGACUUUAGAGUCAAGCAUUAUCACUGGCCCACUGAGCUGGCCACAAUGGUUUUAUUUUCUUUACUAGAAGUAAUUUUACAGUUAUUUCAGGAGUCAGAGUACUGGUACACUUGCAGUGCUUUAUAUUUGGCUAUUAAAAGGGUUAUUUCUUUGUAUACAAACAUCUUAAAUUUCUGUAUUCAGAUUCUGUAUUGUCAUUAGCCAAGACUAUAUUAAUAAAAAUAUCAAAAUAUA